ACGACUACAUAGGUAGGUGUUGCCCAAAUCGAAGAUAAGAUGAGAGAAGGUCGUGAGAUGGUUUGGUCAUGUUCUACUUUCAAUCCAUUUGUGUUUCUUUUCAUACAGCUUUGCAGAUGAAUGAAUCAUCAAGUAUGAAGCUGCCAUAUAUUGUCAGUAUCUUGGUUUCUGAUAGAAUUGUUUCUGCAGUUAUGCAAGAUUGAUUCUGAAGGAAAAGCAAGGAAGGUCAUCGGUUGCUCCUGUGUUGUUUUAAAGGAUUUUGGAGAAGAGAUCGAGGCUCGCCAUGUCGUUUUGGAGUAUGUGAAGUCACACUGAGAAGUAUAGCUCUUUCGAUCAAGAGAGGCCUUCCUUAGUUGAAUGCUCUGCGGUUUUGUGAUUGUUAUAGUUGAACCAUGUCUUAUUUUUUACCGGUUUUUGCUCGUGUCAAGUUUGAAACAAUUUCAAUUUAGUCCAUCAUAUUCCAUUAAAUUCCCUGUACGACCAUCUGAUUUGGGAGCUUAGAACUCUGCAUCUUAUCCUUUCAGAUAGUGGUUUAAUGGUUGAUGCUUGAUUCACUCGGUAUGUCUUUUUCUGGUUUGAUGGCUCGAAAAGCUGGAUUUAAUUGUCAUGUUUUGAAUUGAAAAGAAAAAAAAAGGAUACUCGGAUCCCGACCUGACUUGGGCUUUUAGCCUGGGUCAUUUGCUGUUUGGGUCGGGUUCCGGAUCAGAAACACAAGCAUUCUGCUUGUUUCAAGUCGGGUCGGGUAUCAUGGAAACCCGACCUGACCCAUUGACACCCCUGAGUAUACGCGGUUCCAUAACCAAACAAUUUAAACCUCCAUGUUUCGAGGGAGUCAGGGAAAAGAAUCUAACACGCAUAUAAGUCGCAACUCUCGCAAUCGAAUGAUACCUUUUCGACAUAGUCCUCCUUUGCGAGGCUUAAGGUGAAGCCAAGGCAGCUGAAGAUAGAGGACAUGAGAGAGCAGGCGUAAGAGAAAAGCGCCACUUCGACAUCGGCCAUCUGGGAGUACACAACCUUCACGAGCUGCUUGAACGACUGGGCCAUCUUCCCCAGUGGCUGGUGGUCGGCCAUCGCUUGAGUUUAUGCAAGCAACUAUUGACCGUGGGGCGAUGGCCGUCAGGCAAACCUCAACUGUGGCACUCGGUUAUUGAUGGCAAUGGAAGCGAGCGACGGUGCCAGAUGUUGGGUCAAGGUGGCUGUCGGUGAUGGCCACGACACUAAUACUUGGGGAUAGUGGUGGACCAAAUGCGGUGCGACUUUAUCCGUAGGUCAAUUGGUGGUGAUGGAAGCAUCCACCGGUGUGCGGUGGUGGGCAACCAGCGGCCAAUGACAUGCGACGAGUCGACAACAAUUGAUGGUGGGG